CACAAAUAUGAUAUGAUGAUUUAAUGUAAUUUCGGAAAGGGUCGCUUUUGUACUUUCCUACCUGGGAACUUGUUUACCCUUACAACUGUUUAGUAUAUAAAGUAACAUUUUGGCCUUCAUGUCAUCAGUUCACUGAAAACCUUUACCACCAUGAAAUUGUUUGCCUUCUUCACGUUGUUCGUGUGCGCCAUCUUGGCUCUGGCCAGCGGUGAUGGGUCGUACUCCAGACAGGAGCGCAGCCCAGUGCCUGUCGAGGACGCAGCGCCAGCACCAGGCCCCCACCACCACCAUCACCACUACGGACACGGCUACGGACACCACGGCUAAAAUCGAUCAUGUCUUCAUUUUUGGUUUUGUUUAAAUAGUUUCGAAUAUGUAUGUUCAACAUUUCAAUAAAAUCUAUAUUUAGUUUCAA